UAGCUAGUUGGUGAGGUAAAGGCUUACCAAGGCGACGAUCUGCAGCGGGUCUGAGAGGAUGAUCCGCCACACUGGAACUGAGACACGGUCCAGACUCCUACGGGAGGCAGCAGUGGGGAAUUUUGGACAAUGGGGGCAACCCUGAUCCAGCCAUGCCGCGUGAGUGAAGAAGGCCUUCGGGUUGUAAAGCUCUUUCGGCCGGGAAGAAAUCGCAUGGGUCAAUACCCUGUGUGGAUGACGGUACCGGAAUAAGAAGCACCGGCUAACUACGUGCCAGCAGCCGCGGUAAUACGUAGGGUGCGAGCGUUAAUCGGAAUUACUGGGCGUAAAGCGUGCGCAGGCGGUUUUGUAAGACAGGCGUGAAAUCCCCGGGCUUAACCUGGGAACUGCGUUUGUGACUGCAAGGCUAGAGUACGGCAGAGGGGGGUGGAAUUCCACGUGUAGCAGUGAAAUGCGUAGAGAUGUGGAGGAACACCAAUGGCGAAGGCAGCCCCCUGGGUCGAUACUGACGCUCAUGCACGAAAGCGUGGGUAGCAAACAGGAUUAGAUACCCUGGUAGUCCACGCCCUAAACUAUGUCAACUAGGUGUUGGGUGGGUAAAACCAUUUAGUACCGUAGCUAACGCGUGAAGUUGACCGCCUGGGGAGUACGGCCGCAAGGUUAAAACUCAAAGGAAUUGACGGGGACCCGCACAAGCGGUGGAUGAUGUGGAUUAAUUCGAUGCAACGCGAAAAACCUUACCUACCCUUGACAUGCCAGGAACUUGCCAGAGAUGGCUUGGUGCCCGAAAGGGAGCCUGGACACAGGUGCUGCAUGGCUGUCGUCAGCUCGUGUCGUGAGAUGUUGGGUUAAGUCCCGCAACGAGCGCAACCCUUGUCGUUAAUUGCCAUCAUUUGGUUGGGCACUUUAACGAGACUGCCGGUGACAAACCGGAGGAAGGUGGGGAUGACGUCAAGUCCUCAUGGCCCUUAUGGGUAGGGCUUCACACGUCAUACAAUGGUCGGUACAAAGGGUUGCCAAGCCGCGAGGCGGAGCCAAUCCCAGAAAGCCGAUCGUAGUCCGGAUUGCAGGCUGCAACUCGCCUGCAUGAAGUCGGAAUCGCUAGUAAUCGUGGAUCAGCAUGUCACGGUGAAUACGUUCCCGGGUCUUGUACACACCGCCCGUCACACCAUGGGAGCGGGUUCCGCCAGAAGUAGGUAGCCUAACCGCAAGGGGGGCGCUUACCACGGCGGGGUUCGUGACUGGGGUGAAGUCGUAACAAGGUAGCCGUAGGGGAACCUGCGGCUG
rnacentral:rRNA from 1 species